GUCUAGGAAACUAGAUCUUCUUCGAGAGUGGUACACAGGUGAUGCAUGGCUGUCGUCAGCUCGUGUCGUGAGACGUCCACUUAAGUGUGGUAACGAGCGCAACCCUUAUCGUAUGUUAUAAGUGUCAUACGAGACUGCCCCCGCUUUGCGGGGGAGGAAGGAGAGGACGACGUCAAGUCAGCACGUCCCUUACAUCCAGGGCAACACACAUCCUACAAUGGAGCCGACAACGGGUAGCGACGGGGUGACCCCGAGCCAAUCCUCAUAAACGGCCCCUCAAUUCGGAUUGAAGGCUGCAAUUUGCCUUCAUGAAGUCGGAAUCGGUAGUAAUCGCAAAUCAGCAGGUUGCGGUGAAUACGUUCUCGCUCCUUGUACACACUGCCCGUCAAGCCAGCAAAGUCAGCAACGCCCGAAGCGGGUGUUCGGAACUCGCCUUUGGCGAGACCGACCCUUCUACGGCGAGGUUGGCGAUGAGGACUAAGUCGUAACAAGGUAUCUGUACUGGAAGGUGCGGAUGGAUUACCUCCUUU
rnacentral:rRNA from 1 species